GUACUACUUGAACAAAGCCAAAAUUUGUAGAGCUAUUUGAGGGAACUAGAAGCUUCCAUAAAGAUCUUCAGAUGAAGACUGAGAUCUUUAAAACUUUAUUUUAAAAAAUGCAGAGACAACAGUCAACACCUGAAUCAAGAAGCAGACACCACAGUACAAACCAAACGGCAUGAUGACAAAGAUAUUGACUGCACCAACAGCAAGGCUGUUUCCUUACCUCCCUGCUUAUGGUCAUCAGUUGCUUCUCAGCUCUUCUGUGUCCCUUGAAGCCCCUAUAUUCUUCCCAUUCCUCCCAAGGUACCUACAAGCCUGAAUUUCAUGAGUAUUAUCCC
rnacentral:lncRNA from 1 species